rnacentral:lncRNA from 10 species
ACUUCAGGAUAACAGCAUUCAGUAGUGGCUUUCUCCACCUCCCAAGAGCAGAAAUAAAAGAGAUUGUUAAAACGCAGAAAGCGGGAAUGAACAAUUUUCUCCCCCUUUUGUUUAAGGAGGGGUCUAGAAGACAGAUGUAAGUGAAAUGAAUUAUAAGUCUCAACCUCCUUCACUCUUAUCUGGAGUGAAUAGACUGCUUUGUCAUACAGCUGCCUAAGGCUAAUCCUCCACACUCCCACAAUCUUCUCAGUCUACUGCCUGAGUACCUUUGAAGCCAGGAUUUAAAAUCCUAUAAAUAGAAACAGGAUUACUGGUUGCAGACUGCUGAAAAACUUUAAAUGCUUCCUGGAAAGUGCAAGGAAGGAUGUACAAUGGCAUGAGAAGAGGUGAAUGGGGAGGAGAAAUGUAAAUUUUUAAGAGAAAUAGUAAACUCUAACUUAACACAGUAUUUCAAUAAAUCUGACUUUUCUUUUUGUGACCCUAAGAGAUUUUUUUGAUUUUCAUAAUUAGAAAUUGCAUCCAGGCAAGGCGUAGUGGCUCACGCUUGUAAUCUCAGCACUUUGGGAAGCCAAGUUGGGAGGAUUGCUUGAGGCCAGCAGUUUAAGACCAGCCUGGACAACAGAGUGAGGCCCUGUCUCUAUGAAAAAAAAAAAAAAAACACGACAUAUUUUAGUUAGCUAGGUAUGGUGACACGCACAUCAAGUUACAGUUACUCAGGAAGCUGAGGUGGGUAGAUCACUGGAGCCCAGGAGUUUGAGGCUGCAGUACGCUAUGAUUUUACCACUGCACUCCAGCCUGGGUGACAGGGUGAGACUGCUUGUCAAAAGAAAGGAAAGAAAGGGAAGGGUGGGGGGGGGAGAGAGAGAGAGAGAGGGAGAGAGAGAGAGAGGAAGAAAGAGAAAG